CAACAAAACAAGUGUUCCUGGAAAGCAAAUCCAUCAGGAUUGCAAGCAUGGGCACGGUAACAACUGUACUGGAUUUAAGCAAAGGCACACAUUGGGGCACUGCGGUGCAGAGGAGAGAUGGGGUCUGCAAGGUCUGGGUGUCACCUUCUGCUUGCAGCUCCCAUUGAGCUGAGCACCAGCAGUGCGUGCUGAGUGCCCAUAUGCAUGUGCUGUAUCUCAGCCAGUGUACACCUCAGCCCUUCUGAGUACGUGUGUUUCUAUCAGCCUGACCUUUUCAAGCUGUCUGUGGGCUGACGGCUGCAAGCCCUGCAGGAUUUUCAGCUGUGGCAGUAAAUAGCUUCUCCUGAUAUGUUUGGAGAGAGUCAGCUUUGGCCUUUUGGUGAUAUGCCAUAAACAGCCAGCAUGCCUCGCUCACGGCAUCCUGAACGGCUUUGCUGGCUUCUUGUGUAUCCUUGGGGGCAGACAGGAGUGAAAACGUAAACCUGAGUGCUGACAGCCCCCGCUGUGCAUGGGAUCCUCCUGUCCUAAUGGCCCCAAAGAGGUAUUAAAGCACGCAAGUCGCACCAGUUUGGGUGUUAAGUGCGUCAUGUCAGAGCUGGGUGACAGCAGCCAGGUGUUGUUUUCCUGUUGAUCUGGUUGUGGUUGAACACAGAAGUAUAGGAGGUAACAAUGUGAAGAGCUCUGUGUCCUUCUGUGAUGUGGUUUGUGGGGCAGCAGCUCUGCCUGGUGCAGUGCGGGAUGCAGCCGGGUGAUGCGAGGGCUGUGCCAGGAACUGAGAAAAUCAACUGCUCUGUUCUGCAUUUGGGACUUCCAACCAUCUACCAAUGUGCUGCCAGGCAGGAGGUCACCUCACGUGGUGAGACAAGCAGAAUCUGCUGACAAAUUGUCCCUGGUGUACCUGCAAAUGUCGGGCACCUCUGCGAAGAUAACCGCCCCCCAUUGCCCACCUCGGCUUUCCUAAUGGCCAAAGGGUGAGAAUAUCAUUCCUUCACUGCUGUUCUUUGCACAGACUAUUACCCUGUGCUAUUGCAGCUCAUGUUACAGCUCCAGCCUCCCGGUGUGAAGCCAAGACUUGUACUAAAUCAUGAAUGGAUAUUAGGCAGGUGGGGUGAAAGCCAGGGCACCUCACAGCGUGCUCCUGCUGGUGCCGCUGCUGCUCUGCUCCGUCCUCCUGCACCCACCGCAGCUCUUCCUCCUCCCCGGGGCUGCAGAUCCUGCAGAGCACCCACGGCUGCUUCCAUUGCCCCUCAGCUCAGGACAUCCGGCCCUCAGAAAGUGCAGAAAGCCCUGAAUUCCUCAUUUUCUUCACGCAAUGAGAAGGGCUUCAGGACUCGGAUUACCCCCAUGAAAUCUCUCCCUGUCCCAAAGCACGUCCUGCGCGCUGGCUGAGGCAGGAGAAGUGUUCCAGUCUCUAUCGAAACCUGCGACUUCCACCACCCCUUUGGUGGCUGGGAAUGGCGCCCAGACAUGAAAUAACGAACUGAAACCCCUCCACGCGUUGACCAAAGAAAACAAGCUGUCAAACAGAAAUAUCCCCUCGCUCCUUUCCGAGGCGGACCCAAUCUCGUUCCCAUCUGCAGGCUGUGCGGCGCUGGGAAGGCAGCAUGAGGAACUCAGCAUGAAAUCGUCAGCGACGGCGUGCGGUGCUGUUUGUGCAGCAUAAAUCAGUCUGGGGAAUGAAGAGCCCCAUCUUCUUUCUCGCAGAAACAGCAGUUUGGUGAUUUCCUUGGCUCUGUGUUGCUUGCCACUGGACCAGCUGGCACUGGAUGAAAGAGAGUGGCUGCACAUCUUCCUGCUCCUGGUGGUUGGGACUGUUAAAAGUCAGCCCUGUGCCACGGGUUGCCCCAGCUCUUCAGGUGAUAACCUGCUUCAGCAGCAGCUGUGCACAGAAUUUAUUGGGCUGCAGCUGGGAAUCUUUCUCUUUGAUCCAUCUCUGCUAUUAAACAGCUUGUGAUAACGCCACUGAGCUCACAUCGAGGAGGGGAAGCCGAGCAACCUCAAUAUUGGAGCUGAGCAGCAGUGGGGUGCCCAUCUUAAAGCUGCAUCACCUCACUGUCUUCAAAAGCAAAGGAGCUCCUUUUAUAGCAGCGAGCUGCUCUCCAGGAAUGAUUAAAGUCUCGUAAACGAGCACCUUCCUCAUCACAGAGCUGUCUGCUGACGGGGUGCCAAGUACAACAAGCCCAAUCCAAAGCAUCAUCCCCUCCAUGGGGCUAAUUGUUGUUGCCUUGUCUCUUGAACAAGAAGAGUGGUAAGGGAAAGCAGAGCCUGGAGACACACGCACAUCCCUGUACAGAAAUAACCCCUGAAAUAGAACUGACAAGCAAUUGAGGAGUCGGCCUGUGGGCUGCAGACAAAGCACAGAGCAAAGGAGAUAACCGGCAGUGAGCACUGGGAAAUAAUGCCCUAAAUUCCCUCUGAGCCCAUUCAUCACCGUGGCUUCGGCGAUCAUCUCAGCAACAAAUUCCCCUAUCAUCCAGCUGGAAUUCGAUGUUAAUGACCUGUCUGUUAUUUCAGGGGGAGAUGGACUGGAACCGGUGGGUAAUUGGUAGGAAAAAUCGCCGGGUACAGCAAAGAGCUGAUGCUACUGGAGUCGUUACACCACGAGAGAGGGAGAUUAGGGAGCUCUGCUUACCACAAGGGGCUUAUUCAUCCUGAAUAAAUGCGUUAGCUGCCCAGAGCUGUCCUCUUAUGCCCUUGUUCCUGUCUGGUGGCAUCUCCCCACCACAGCUUUUCCCAGCAAACAGCAGAGAUGCAGCCCAGAAGAAGCUGCUAGAAUCAUAGAACACCCAGAGCUGGAAGGGACCCAUAAGGAUCAUCGAGUCCAACUGCUGCUGUUGAGACAAUCACAGUAAGGAAUAACCUGCUCUCUCCAAGCUCACACUGAUGUAUGCGUUUAUUCUGGAGUUCUCUCAGGAAAGACCAUAAUUACUCUAAUUUCUUAAUUACCGAAAUUAUUCAGAAUGACUCUGCAAACACCUCUGCCCUGCAACGUUUUGCACGAGCAGCCUCCCAGAUUGCAGCAGCGUUAGGAUUUGGGUUUGUUCCUCUGCUGGAAGGAUUUGCUGCGUUCAUUGCCAUUUCUCCUUGCCAUCACGUUAGCGGGGCAGCCUGCAGCCCUCACCAAAAAUAGGAUAACUGGAGAGCAUCAGGGGAGAGCUAGAAGCAAGUCCAGAGGUAAAGCCUUGGCUCUGUUGCAAAGGAUAGCUUUGCUGGGACUUGAUGUCUGUGCUUUUUCUCAACAGUUUCUCAUUCCCAUCUUGCUAACGGGACCAGCACCAGUCAUGUUUCGGUGAGCACACCUGCUUUAUAAAUUAGCUCCCAGGAGUAUUUGCAAAAACAGAGCUGAACUGCAUGGCCACGGGACUGGGUUUGCUGCAGAAAUACCAGCACGUAUUCAUAAUAAAGCAGCUGCACGCUUUGCCCAGCUCUGUCUGUAACUUCUCGUCAUGUCCUGUACCUUUCUGGGCAGAAAGAAUGGGUGGUAGUGGUGGGAAAAUUGCAAAAUCCUCCUUGGCUAGAUGAAGCAAUUAUUUUUGAUGCAGAUGGGGCUGCUUUUAACCCUACGUAUUCCAAACAUCUCUGUAUAACCCUAUGGGUUCUCCACCGUUGUAGGCAGUGAUGGAGAAGGAAAAAAAUGGGUGAGUAGGAUUUAACACCCAGCCAGAACUGAACUGUACAACACCCGACUGCAGAAGGGUUGGUUCUAUGCCCUUUAUGCACAGUAGGCACCGCUGCUGCCUGUCCCCAGCAUGGCACGAGUUGGGGACCAUGAGUGGUGAGGACCUCUUGUGGUGCCUCUCCCUGAGCUGCAGGCACAAAGGUUGGAUUUCUUCCCUAUGGCUGCGUGAAGAGCUGCUGACUGCUCCACCAGGAACUGAGGCAAUAAUCCCAGCUUGUUGUUCUCCUUCUCAUGGGAGACUUCUUGUGCAAAAGAAGCAUCAGUAGAAUGAAUCAAACGCUGCGGUAGUGGCCCCAUUCCCACGUGCUCUGUGUGCUCUUCCUCUCGACUCACCGGUGAGGAGGCGGUAUCAUGGGGAGGCUGUUCUGAAAAUGCUUUUAAUUGAUUUAAUUCAUAGCUGUGUUGGAGCAGGAAGGUGUUCCUUCCUUGUGCCCGGGAAUGGCAGAAUGUCCUCCAGCUGCCCCCAGAGAUGCAGCGCUGUGCCUGGGUAGCACUGUCUUGCUGCUGGCCAUCCAUGCCAAGCCUGGGAAUGAAAGCUUUGGCAACAGCCUGGACCAAGCUCUGGUAUCUUCCUUAUCGAGAAGCAUGCUGAUUACUGCAGACAAAUUGGAGAUGAACUUGCCUCUAGAGCCCAACGUGUUUGUGAAAUGAAUUGCAGUUACAUGGGGAUUUAUUAUUUCUGCAAAAGAGGCUUUCUUAUCAUGAUUUUUCCUUCCAUCUUGGACUCAUCGCUACCAGACCAGGAACCUUCAAACAGAUGUGUUUGGAGCCUUGAUGUGGGCUCACAGUGGCUGGGAAUCUUCUUGUUAUUCCUACGAAAAACAGACUCCAGCUGGAGGGGAAGAAGAGCCUCCAGCAUUAGAGAUGACCUAAACAGCACAUGUUGCAAAUGAGAUGGGAAGUGGAGAACUGCUUGAAACAUCUCUGGCCCUUUCAGCAGAACUGUUUUCCCUUUGCCUUCUCAAGGCUGAGCUGCAGACAUUGCAAGAAUGACCCCAGCAGACUGCUGCUGUUUCUGUUUUGCAUGUUCACAAGGCAGCUUCUGAAAUAAGUUUGCACACUGUUGAUCUUGCACUGGACAGCCUCACAUCAGGUGGCAGGGAAGCCCUUGCUCAUGCUGCCCUGACCCUGCUGCUCUUACUUCCCAUGCUGAUGCAUCAGUGCAUGAUGUGGCUGGAAAUGAGGUGGUGCAGGGUGGUCUCCUUGGGUUUUGCAGCUGAAAUAGGUUACUGAGCUCCUGAAGGCAUCCACCAGGAUUGCUAUGGCCUGGAACAGCCCUAGGAAAGAUGCUCUGCUUCAAGCUGGGGUUGUGCUGGUGGUGGGAGCUGGGGAUUUCAAAUCUUCCUACAGUUGGAUAUUUCAACCAAUGGCAUAAAUAAUGGAAAGCCUUCCAAAAGAAUGCCAUCCUAAGGGCUGUUCCCCUAAGAAGAAAUGCAGGUCAGGAAAUACAUUGGCCAUAUGAGUUUGUGAGUCCUUUCAAUUGUGAACAGUGCACUAAUCAAGGUUUGGCUAAUGGGUAUGCUGGGAUAUGCACACAGAUAUGCUCUUCUUUUGAGUCUUUCUCUUUACCUUUCAACCCCUGAAAUCAUCCAAGCUGCUAACACUCUGAGGAGGAUGAUGCAGCAAAAAUAAUAGGUUUAGCAAGAAGCAGAAAAAUGAGAUUAGCAUCUGUUUUUCUGGGAAAAAUAUCAACUUUUCCUGCUUAGAAAAUGAAUGGGUUGGAAACCAGCUUGUAAAACUCGAAGCCUGACUCAGGCACUGAUUUGUCACGGGGCUGUCACCUGCAGUCACUGUUAGAGAGGAGCCCUCAAUGUUCUGUCCAAAAGGAACGAUUGCUGUCUGAGUUAUUGAUGGAUUCGUAUGUGGGGAAGAGCAAAUCCUGGUCAAGCUGGAGGACUUUUGCACACAUUCAGCAGCGAGGUGACGUUUUCCUCCAUGUCAGUGCAGGAUAGGAAGAUCAAGAUCUCUCUCAGUGACCAAGGGAGAAGAGCUUUUGGUCCACGUGCGUGUCUUGCAGUGGGGGAUCCCAAAUGAAGCCCCGAGUCCUGCAGCUCCUGGAAAUGCCACAUCAGAAACAUUCCUGCUACUGGGAAAAACACUUUGAAGACCGGGAAAACUGCAGACUUCAGUUGUUCUUUGUGGCUUCUGCAAUUUUUUCCUGGUGAGGUACAUUGCACGGAAAACCGUCGUGCCCGAUGUGGUCAGCAUUCUUAUUUACCAUAAGCAGAGCAGUUACACAUUGUUAAAUUAUUAUUAGCUUAGCUACCACUGGGAGGGUUGCCUCAGCCCUGCCAGCAGGGCUGAAACAAAUACCCACUGUUGCACACAGUCAACCAGCAAUGAGUUGCAUGGAUGCCCAGAACGUGUCUUGCUGCAGAGCUGUCCCCCCAGGCAGCAGCCCUUGAGGAACACAGGCUGAGCUGGGAUCUCUUGCAAUGGGAUGGGUUGAACGUGUGGAUGCUUUGGAGCUGAAUCUGAAUGUUCUCAGUGUGAGCCUUCGUUCACCCGUUGUGUCAGCCCAUCCAAAGCUGAAGAAUUCACUGCCAAAGGAAAUCUGGAGCUAAAUUCUCAAUUCCAAGCUCUGACGCUGGCAAUAUUUGCACCAAGAAACCUGACAAAAUUCAGGAAGUUUUUUAUGGCCGAUUCUUUCUGCCUGGAUAGAGCUCAUGCCAACAACAAUAUCAGCUCUGUGAAAGAAUUUUAUGGUGUUUUGCUGUGCCUGUGCCAUGGGAAAAAGGGGCAAGGAUGGACUUUACGGGGUGUUUGUAGAAGGACGAAGCACAUCGUCCUCACCCAAAGGGCAGCCAUCAAAGCAAAGCUGUGGCAGCAGGCAGUUCUUCUGCUCAGCCUGAACGUGCAGGGAGCAUCCCAUGGCUGGGAGGUGACUGCAGCCUCCACAGCACUGCUGUAGGCAGACAGCUGAGACGUGGCAUUCUGCACAAACCAGUGGCUGACUCCAGGCUGGGCCGCGUCCCCCAUCCCAGCACCUCAACACUGACCCCCCCAGGAUUGCUCAGCAAUUAACUGUGUGCUCCAUGGGUGAAAUGCGUGAAGUCUUGUGACAGCCACCUCGUCCCACAAGGCAGGGGGUGCUGAGAAAGACAAAACAACCCGCUCCCUCUCCUCUCUCAUUAAAGCAAAUGUCAUCGGCUGUGAUCAGCCUCUGUGUACAUGCACACAGCCAGCAGGAGAAAAUCAAACAUCAAAAGGGAAAGAAAAGAAAAAGAGACCCGAACAGGAUAUUGACAUCAUUGGGAGCUCUGCGAAUGGAGAUGAAAUGUAAAAUGAAGUUGCAAUCUGGCUGAUAGAAGUUGAGGACACGUUAACCCUUGGGCAGACCCGCUGCUUGCAGGGGUGGGAGGAGAGCUGCUUCCAUGGGCACCUGGGCUGCGAUUUGCUCUGGAAUGUGGGAGGAAUCUGACACCCAAAUUGCUUGGGAAGUUGGACACGUCCUGCCAUGGGCUGCUCGGGAAUUGCCAGUUCUCAUUAAUCUCUGCUGUGGAUCUGACAAGUCAGCUGGAGGGAAAUGGUUCAUUUCAUUUUCUUCUCAUCGAGAUUUUCCCACCGCUCUUUCCCUCCCCGUCUGUCCCACUGAUGAGGCAAGAAAAGGAUGACAAAGCAGAAAGCGAGGGAAGAUGCAGGGUGAACGUUUCCGCCGGGAUGUUUAAUGAUGAGAAAGGAAAGAAAGCACCAAAAGAAGUUCCUGACGGAAAAUUCCUCGCAGCUUUCAUGUCACAGCCCCUGACCUUCAGCUGCCCAUAAACACCCUGCAGCCACCCCCAGCACGUUCCCAGCAGCCCGGUGGGGCUCUGCAUUGAGCCACCCUUCCACCAGCAAAGCUCAGACUGGGAAUUCAAACCCCAAAUCCGGCUGUGGGGUGCCAGCAGCCAAACACAGCCUGGUUCAGCACCCCGUGCUCUGGUACCCCAAGGGGCCAUCAUUCACCACCACAUGUGAUGUGUGGUGUGGGCACACACCUUCAGAAACCCUCAAAACCAAAUAAGAUAUCACUGUCGAUAGGAGUUCUGUGAAUAGAGAUGAGGUAUAAAAUCGAAACAAGUAUUUCCUUAUGGUCUUUUUUGUUUAUUUACUUGGGGAAAUAACCAUGCACGGAGCUGGCAUUAAGGACUGGCUUUUCAGGCACAUUUUUAGCUAACAGAAUAAAGGGAUUUAUUUCUGCAGUGAAGAAACAGAGGAAUAACUUGUAAAGGCACUGUAAUUCCAUCCAUUUGGAGCUGACUGUAGCUCUGAAGCAGCCGCAGAUAACUUAAGAUGUUGCAAGUUCAGAAGGGAUUUUUAUCUCUCUGUUUGGAGAAGCAUCGCCUUGACUUCAUCGGCACAAUCUCAGUGUGAGGCUGUAGUUUAAAUAACAGGAAGGAAGAGCGGCUGCCCCGGGUCCAAGUUUGCCCCAGGAUUUGGGAUAAAGGCCGGGCUGCCAAGCAGGGGGUCCCAAACCCCAUAGCAGCCCCAUCCCACGUGCUCUGGGGCUAUGGAGGGAUGCGGGGGACGGUUGGAUCAGAACAUCGCUGCCAUCCAGGGGAUCUGGGCAUGAAGUGUACAGGGAAGCCCUGAUGGAAGAAAACAGAGCAAUGCCAUGCUGAGCUUCCCAGAGCAGAGCAGGGUGAGCAGGUCCUGGCCCUGUGCUGCAGCCCCACUCAGACCAGUCUAUGUCUCGGUCGCUGUCUGCUCCCUGUGCCAGCUGUUAACCAGCACCACUUGCUCGGCCUGAGCUGACCCAGCCAAUACCUGGAAUUAAUGAAACAAAAAGGCCAUGAAGCAAGGAGCUGUUGUUACCUAAUGUGUCUCAUCCCCUGAGCAACGUGUCCAUCAGCACGGUGCUGCGCAUCAGGAGGGGAAGGCGAUUUGGGUGCCUCGCUGUGUGCUCAGCAGCUCGGAUCCCCUCUGCUGCUUCACCUUUCUAACCUGCAUCUCUUCUGCUGUUUUUAUAGAAACAGCCUCAAUUAUUCCCACCCUGUUCUAGCAGGCCUAGGGCCAAGCUGCUUAGCUGCAGGUUUUCCUGCUCGUGAACAGCAAGCAACACCUAUCCACGCAAUGCAGAAGAAGCAUCCCAGUGGGUUUGCAUUUGCACUUUGCUAAAGACAGUGCUUUUGGGGCUGAAUUUCACCCAGGAGAGGCAGCAGGAGACUCUGCAGUGCUCAGCACCGGGCAGGAUCGGGGCUGCACAUCACUCUGCCACUCAGCCCUGGGAUCCCAUCUGUGGGAUAGCAUAGGGCCGGUGACACGGGACUUAUGGAGCUGUGUGUUUCAACAUACAUUUUCCAAAAGCUAUUUCAUACGUUCCAUCACGCCGAGUAAUGCGCUGGAAACCAUCCAGGCUUGGGGAUGUUUCUGUAAACGCAUCAUCUCUGCCCUUCCACUGCUUUUGCUGUGAGCAGAGGGGACCCGGUGCUCCCCCCUCCUGCUGUGGGAGCUGGGGAUGCUGCGAGGACCUCUCUGCUCCUUUGCAGUGCAGCCCUUCGUUUUCACUCUGCUUUCACAGCAGCGUUUCAUAUGGUCUGUGUCUUGAUUUCCUAGAAGCAUCCCUGCACUUCUCUGGCUAUGAAAACACCCCCACGAUGUCCUGCACGUACAGACUCAUAUAUGCAGCACACACACCCACUAGAUGGCUGUUUUCUAGCUCUUUAUUUGAUUGAAUUGUUACCAGAGGGAGGUGACAUUUUCUCACAAAGCUUUUUCUACUGCAAAAUUCAGGCUUAAAGACACCAGACUGCUCAUAAAGUGUGUAUCAAACCCGCCUAUUUCAUCAGGUAGAGAAAGCAAAACAUUAGGAGAUAUUCUGGAAUAGCUGGAGAUACACCUAUAGAACCAGCAAAUGGAUAUAUGGGAUGGGUUGAAAAUGCCAGAACUGUUAGGUUGGGAUCUGUUUCUAAAGAAGAAAAAAGAGAGUAAAUCUUGGAAUGAAACCUGGAUGCUUUGUUCAAAGCCAGGCAGAUGUGUUCCAUCUGGGUAGGAGGAGGUAUUCAAAACAAGGCCUGAUUGUUUUCCAGCAGUUUCUAAAUUGCCAAAAAAAGCCAAAUCAGCAUUGGUUCUUACAGUCUGAUAUUCAAAUCCACCCUUAUUGUGCCUAAAACACAAAGUGGCCAUUGCUUGGCACUGGAGGGGCAUGCAGAGAUGUUUUAUAUAGUACAGCGAGCACAGAAUGGCACAUUGCCCUUCAGGGUCUGUUUCAUUAGAGCCAGAAGGAAAGGACAGUAAGUGAGGGUCGUGUUCCUAUUUGAAUCUAACAUUCCACCAAUGUCUUUGAUUGCAUCCAAGCAGAGGUGGGCAUUCUGCUGCGUUUUACUCUCCUGCUGUAAACAUGAAAUAUUACUUUUAAUAGAUCUUUUCCCCUCAGAAAAAGAGGCUGAACACGUGUAAUUAGAGCAACAGGCACGUGUCUGCGUUCAGGGAGACAUCCCCAUAAAGGCAGUUGGCAUUUGAGCAGUCUCGAGUUAAAUCUGAAGGCUGGAUCUAUCCAUCUCCUAUUUUAUCAUGAAUGCUAAUUGGAGUCUGAGGGCCCUUUGAUGGAAGCAACACGGCAAACACAGCGUGUACCACUUCCUCCAAUUUCCAGAAAGCAAUAGGCACGUGAAGUGGACGUUGGGUUUAAUUUAUACUGUGAGAAUCCCUCGCUGCACAAUGCCUCCGUUUCCAGAUAUUAUUAACAGAGCCGGAGCGUCCUUCCAUGUGUGCUGGUGGAAAGGAACGAUAAAUCAAGCAUGCUUCUGGGACGAUUGCAAAACCUCCGUGCAACUUGACUCACAGUCUAAAAAUGUGCUUGUGGAAUGGUUGUGGUUGCAUCACGUAGGUGCUGCAAAGCAAACACCGAUUUGGAGAACCUCCUCUCCCCAUCCUCACUUCCUUGCAGCACGUGGCCAUACGUUUUCUGCCCUCUCCAGGAGCUGCUGGAUACUGAAAGAGCAUCCCUGGGAUCGAUGGUCCUCUCCUUUCUGCUACCACAGCAGCAAGAAGGGAACUCGAACUGGGAUCAAAGAGGUUUGGUUCGGCUCCUGAGAAGAGAAUGAAGAAGGGAAGGGACAGGAGGAGCACAUCUGGAGGCUGGUGCAUGGCUGCGUGGCCUUCCCCUCCAGCGAGCAGCGUUUGGAGAGGAAAUUGCCUUGUGGAUAGCUGAUAUGGGUGUUUGCUCAGGGGGAGCGGUGCGCCCGGGCAGGGAAAGGAAAUUCCUGGAUGCCAAGUCAAAUAUAGGGAAAAGAAAGCAGAUUCUGCAAGAAUAACUAUAUGCUGGAGAGAGAAGUUGAGCAGCCAGUCGGUGGCCGGGCACUGGGUUUGGGCAUGUGGGUGAUGGUCCAAGGGUUGGCAUGCAGCACAUCCCAGUACACCAAUAUCCCAGAAUCCCCACAUCCCCAAUAACCCAACAUCCCAGCACCCCAACAUCCCAGCAUCCCAAUAUGCCAGCACUGCAGCAUUCCAGAGUCCCACUGCAGCCCUUGGGCUCCGCUCGCUGCCCAGCACUGCACUCGGGAACGCAGGCAUGGCCAUUCCAUGUGGCUGGCUCCAUUCUUUUCUGGUUUUUUCCAUUUUAGGAGCUAUCCUGCACCAGCUUCUUUAUCAGUAGUAAAGAAGAAAAAGAAAGGAAAAAGGCACAAAGUAAAAAAAAGCAAAGCAAAACAUAACCACAGCGUUUUCCGUGACCCUUCUCUGGCCUCUGCUUACACAAAAAAAUCCUGGCAUCCAUAAUGAUCAGGCCUUUGAUUGAACGACAUUUUAAUUCGGGAUAUAUUAAAACAGCAUGUUUUCAAAUGAGCGGUCCCAGAGCAGAAGGGGAAGAGCAGGCUCCCCAGAACCUCUCCAGCUUCAGAGUCACAAGCUGUGCCCCAGAUGCCAUCACGGCAGCUUUGAUAGGCAGGCCCCUUGAUUUAAAAUAGGGCAGGGGGGGGGGUUGGCUAAUUGAAACCAUUGUGUUAUGAUAACCAAAUGUCUUCUGCCUUUUGCAUCUCCCAUAGAUGGCAAUGCAUAUUGAAAAAGACAUAAUAAUGCCACGUCCGUUUUCAGGGAGAGAUCAAAGGCUCUCCUGGAAAGAGGAGCCCAGUUGUCCCCCCCAAUGCAUCUGGGCUGCAGACAGCCAGUGGUAAAGGCGACUUCAUUCAUCCGCGGGGCAGAGGAAUGCUGUCUGGGUGCUUUGAAAAGUGCAAGGGCUGGUGGAGGGAGGAAAAAGCUCUGUGUAUGGGAACAGGGUGGAUUUAUGGCCCUCAUGCUGCAAUGGGGUCCUGUGGCUUCACUGUGCAUUUUGGCACAGCUGGCGCUGCAUUACCCAGGAGGCUGAGAGUGGGCUGCAAUGGGAGCAGCAAUCACCCAAAGCAGAGUCAGUGGCACAGAACGACCAAACCCAGGGUGAGCAGCAUCCUUAGUUGCUGCCUGCAGAACGGUAGCCCCGAGCUUCCAAUACGCUCCAUGAAAGCAUCCUCAUGGGGGUUCAUUCUAUCACCCCGUCCACGGUUUCUGGGCAGCUCUGCCCUAUUUGGCUCCAGCUUGAAUUUGGACCAGAGCAGGUGGAUGGAGUGAAGCUGCCCCUGCAGCUGUGGGCAUCCUGCCUUGGUGCAUCAGGAUCAUUGUAGCAAAACGUGCACCUCAUGGGCUGCCCUGAUGUGUUGCUCUGCAGAACAUCUGCAGCUGCCAGCAGGGCUCAGGGUGCCUCCCAGGAUGUCAGGAUGCUGCUCCUGGAGGUACUGUGGAGGAAAAAGGGGCAGGUUUGGCUGAUUUUAGAAGGCAUCUAAUUGCACCAGAUGGUACGGGCAUGUUUAAUUCACCCUCCAGAGAGGCUGACCUGUGAGCCACCUAACGUGGCUUUAUUGCUUUUCCCUGCAUACCCAGCAAAUCUCUGAGUGCAAGAACUCUGCUUUGUUUGCAUGUACAAUGAGACACUGGGAAACACCUGCCCAUCGCUCAGCAGACGCUCAGCCCGCUUGCAAAUACAUUUUAAGCCAUAAUUAAAAUGACAUGCCAUCUUCUCCUCGUACUACACAAGCAGAAGUAUGGCGUAUGGCCUCCAGAAAUCCAGAAUAACUCAAAGCAGAACUGGUUUGUAUGCUUAAUCAGACUGUGUGCUGAAUGCAGAACAUAACAACAACAAAAAAAACCAAUUAAAAAAAACCCAAACAACCCCAAACCUUUAUUAAAUGCACAGCACUGAGUGGGGACUUCUGCUCAACGUUGAUUGAGACAUUGGAAAAUUCAGCCCUCGUGUUUCAUCAGCUGCACUGAAAUACUUCGGUGCAGAUGGACAGAGCCCAGAUGGCAACCUCGGCUGCGGAGCAUCUCUGCCCCAGCCAUAUGCUGCUCAGAAGGGGAAGGGAUGCAGGGUUUGCUUCGUAGCUUUGGGACUCGCUGGUGCCACGUGGAGCUCAGAGCUGCUCAUUUCCACCCAACCCGCGCUAUGGUGACACAGUGGGGACGUGGCACUGCUGUCCUGCAGUGGGAAAAAGGCAUGGCAGGGAGCCAGGGAUGCACACACUGCGGCUUUGUGGGGCCACUGAUUGAGGCAGAUAGCGAUGUAAUUGGGCCAACACACACUGUCAGGGGGAGGGCUGUUUGGUACUGUGGGUUGAGCACUUUCUGCAAGAACAGGAGGGCUUUCUUUUUGAGAACACGAGAGCUGAGCAAACACCUCCAGGAGAAGUCUGUAGAAGUUUGAAUCUUGUCUCAUCCCUGAGAUGCUGCUGUUUGCAUGCAUGAAUUGGCCUUCUUUCUUCCUUCCACAGCCUCGUGAGACAUUCCGUGGAAGGUGGCAAGCAUUGGAUGAGUAACAUUUCCCCAUAGUGCAUUAAUCAACGCCUGCUUGGCCAAGCAGCAGUCAGUGUGAGAGGAGGACGAGUUGGGCUCCCAGGCACACGGGGAACUGCUGAGACUCAGAUUGCACACAGCAGCACCACAGUGACAAAGCUGCCUUGGUUCAGCACCCAGGGGCACUGCCACAAUCCCAGCUCAGAGAUGGGAUGGGAGGUAUGGUGUGCAACUCGUUGCUGGUUCCAUGAGAGCUUCUCCAUGGCGCUCACACAGGGACAUAAAAUGUGAGGGGUGGCCUCUGUCCUCCUGGCACCGUGGUUCCCUGAGUGCAGCUCCCUUCCUUGAGCAGGAUCAGAGCAGGGCUUCGGAGGAUCCUACGCAGAGAGCAUCCUCCAAGGACGUGUUUUCAAAGGUACCAUAGGAUGAGAGCUGGGAAAAGCAGAAGGGGCAGAAUCCACUCUUGGUUCUCCAGCAGUUUCCAGCAUGUGGGCACCUGCAUGAUUUGCCAUCCUCAGGGCUCUCCAUCUCCCAAAGGCUGAAUAAUCUCAAGAAAGGGCCCAGGAAGAAGUGAAAUCCUCUCCAGAACGGUCAUUUGCAAGAGUGUGUUUCCGUAACCUUGCAUUGUUACAGCAUCACAAGGAUUUGUCUCCUCUUCUGGCUUCAGCACACAUGUUCCUGGCUCCCAUGGAGGCACUGUGGACAGCCCAUGCCAUACAACGUGCCAGAAACAUGACCUCCCCAUGAACUUCGGGCCAUAUUUUCAAGUCUGCGCCCAGCUCCUUGCAGGCAGGGCUGUCUGGCCAGUGCAUUCUGGCCCUUUUGCAUGGAAAAUGAGCUGUGUCAGCCUUCGUGGCCCACUGGCUUGCCAGCUGCGUCCCUAACAGCACUUUGCAGCCUCCUCCCUCCGUGCUCAACAUGUUGCCUUCACCUGGCACAUGGGACAGCAACGAGGGGACUGUGAGCUUGUCCUCGGUGGCUGGGGCCCAGCUGGCCACCCCCAUCUCCCCACUGCAGCCACCGCACGCUCCUCGAUGCAGCAGAACUCAAUGUACAGCCCUUUUAUUUUUCCUCCUUGGUUUUCCUGUUCCCAGAACAGUUGAAUAUUUUACUUGCAUCGUGCCCCAGUUCCCCAGUUUCCAGCAGGCAGAACAGGGUGAUCUGUACCCAUCUCUUGCAGCAGCUGGUGCUUGUUCCCCUGGCAAAACUUCACUUUGGAGCUGAACCCAACAAUGCUGCUGACUCCAACUGAUUCUUUCUCCCCCAGCCUAAGGCACUUUAUGAUGAUAUUAAUAACCAGACACUGAGGUUCAGCACUAAGGAUUUCUUAAGCUUGCUGCUGGGGCUGUGAUUGAGCUUUGUAGCCAUCUCUGCUUCAUCCCAUGAUCCAUCAGGGUUGGUGGGGACACCCAGACCUCUUUUGGGAAGUCCCUCCACAGCUCCUCCCUCCCAUAGCACCCAUGGGGUCAGGGGCAGACCGGGUGCUCCCAGACCUCUUUCCUGUUCUGCCCUUAAUACAUCAAAGGGAGAUCUCUUGUUCGAUGGUUCUCUAUUAACCCUAUUCAUGAGUCUUUUAAUUAGUGUUGCCUUCUGCUAAGUAAUCGCUUCAGCCUUAGCUCCUCUGGGGCAAUGCAGAGCUGCAACAGGGCACUGCAGGAGCUGCAUGCUGCUGUUCUGCUUUCUGGACCUGCUCCUGCUGGCAACUAUGCCAUUCCUUUUGCACAGACCGCACAGUGCCAGAGCAGCCCACUAAAACUUGCAAAGAAAAGCAGAAAGAAGCAUCUGAAACCCCACCAGGAGCUGCGGCAGGUAGAGUUCUAUCCUUACAUCUGGGAAACCUCCAGCUCAGCUCAAUCCUGCUGAUGCACUGCUAAGGGGAGCUUUGUAGUGGCCCUAUUCAAAGCACUCAGCUCUGGGGGCAUGUUUCCCCCAGCACCCAGGAGCAAUGUUUCCUUUGUUAAUUCAGGGUCCCCACCAAUCUGCAUCACCCCAUGCCUGGAGGCAGAGCUGCCAUGGCUGCCUUUUAUCCCCUGCAUCCUCCGGCAGAGCUCACAAAGUGGUACUUUGUACCAGAGCAAGAAACAAGAGACGUGAGCUGUAAUACAGGAGAGAGAGAAAAAAAAACCCUCAUCUCACCCCUUGUGUUUUUCCUGGAAAUGUCACUGCCCUUAAUGCAUCAAAUAAUUAGAAUCACUUCUCCCCUUUUGUUUGCCUUGGCCCUCACUGCUCGCAUUGAGUGGGCCAACAUAAACCUGUGCGCACCACAGGAAUUUUGGGCACAGCCCAUUCUGCAGUGCUGGGUGCAGGGGGAGAAGUGGCUGCAGGAGCUUUGGUUCUGCUCCAUAUGUCUCUGCUGCUGUGGGCACUGCUGGGCACGGAGCUCCCGUAGAGAGGACCUCACUGCAACGCUAGUGCUCAACCAAGUGCUGGUCCCUAUGGAAAUCCACUGUCCUGGAGAGAAGCAGCAGCAGCUGAUGCCCAUUUAAUGCCAAAAUUGCAGAUUUGUGUUUGACCUGAGUGGUGGGUGUGAGCGUGAUGCUGGCGGGACAGAUGGGUGGAUAGCUCUCUGAAGUCCCAGUGGGAUGUUACGCUUGUUGCUCUGUAGUUGUAGCCUUCUCCUCUGGGUGCUGGGGAGUGCUCCGAGGUGACGUGGGAGAACAUAUCCCUUGUGAAUGCUGGAAAGCUGUGCUGGGUGAGGUGGCAUUGCACCACUAAUCCACGCACAGAGGAGCCCAGCACCCCCUCAGCACCCCUUACAGACACAGAUGGACACAGCCAGCAUCACAGCCCAGCUGGCUGCCUGCCCCCAGCACCGCUCCCAUGGGCUGCAUGUAUGUCAAUGGGUUAUUAAAGAAACGGAUGGGGGAUUAGCUGUGCUGUAGGUAGAGACCCCAUUCAGAUUUGCUAAGUUUCAGCAAGUAUGUUUUCAAUAAUUGGCUGGUAUUUGUAAGAAAUGAAUAAAACCUAGGCUACUAAAGUUGGUCCUUCUCUUAUUAUAAGGCAUUUAUUGCAUGCUUAGAAGCAUAUGUCUUCAAUAUCUGAAGCAAAGGAAAGUAAUACGUAAGGAUCCCUUCUUAAACACAAAUAUAUGCAGCCAUAAUCACAAUUAUUAGCCACCAUGAAAUAGCUAACAAACUGAAGAAGCCCCCUCAGCAGCAGCUUUACAACUGGGGGUGCAUAAGAAAUAAAGACAAAGGCGAGAAUUGCCCUCUUAGCUGUGCGAGACUCCACAAGGCAGAGGAAGGAUCAGCUCUGCUGAGGAGUGUUGGCAUCUCGGAGAAGGUUCACGGAUGAAGCCAAUGGAGAAGGGUGUGCAGGAGCGGGGCAGGGAAUUGGGAAGCAGCGCUGCUGCUGGUGGUUGUAUCCUUCUGAAGAAAGAACACUGGAAAACCAAAGCUACCUGUCACUGCUGCUGUUAUCGCAGAGGUAUUUGGGAGAGGGUGAGCGAAUGUUUCUGCAGAACUGCGUGCUGAUUUAUUGGUACGGAGGGAGGUGCAGCGGGGAAACCACUGUGCGGAUCAUUGGCGAGGAGGGGCACGUGGUUCUCCAAAGAUUUUUGUCUGAAAACGCAAUCAGCUGAAGUCAGCGCCGCGCUGAGGGUCUGAGCAGAGCUCAGUGCUGCUCAAGGAGGCACUUUCAUGUAAGAGGGAAGAAAUGGGCCCUGGCUCUGUGUAUAUCCCUGUUGGUCUUCUGAACACUUCGCGUUGCGUCUUCCUCCUCACUGCACCGCCCUGAAGCACAUACAGAAAAUGAUUGCUGAAAACGGGGCGUCCGCGAGUCACAAUGAGCGCAAUUAAACCAUGGAACGGAUUCCCCAGGGAUCUCACGCAUCCUUGGCUGCUUGGAGGAGCCUCAGGGCGGGCUGCAGCAGCUCCUUCCCUUUGGUGGAGCAGCGCUGUUCCUCCUGGGAUUUGCUCCAAACGGACAGCUCUGCUCUGCUCCAGCUGCUCGGUGGGUUUCUCUCCAGCACGUUGCUGGUUUGCACAUCGUUUCAAGCCUGCAGCUGUUAUCGGGCUGUUGGUUGGAGCGUUAUUCACUUCCAAUCCCUGCCUCAUUGCAGGGGGAGACCAUCCCUGGAGAUCCUCCCAUCUCCCAUCUCCAGGGCGCCGAUCCUCAGCCACUCUGAGCGCAAUGCAGACACCACACAGCUCAGCAGGUUUCAGUGCCUCUGCCACCAACUGCGACUCAAAUCCAAAGCGAUUUGGCUUUGUUUUGUUUCUAAGUUGCUGCUCGAGCUUUCUUGGCUCACAGGCAGAUUUUCUCUUCCAAGGUUUCAGUGGUGGAGGGCUGUUUCUCUAAUCCCCAAUAGUUUGAGAUUAUCUCCAGCCAACAAUUAAUCAGAAUCAGAAUUUUGCACUGCUUGCCUGUGCUGCCGCAUUGAGUGCAUGUAAAACCCUCUUUCCUCUGAAGAAAAGCAUGUUCUACUUUCCUAUGUUGCCUCCGGUCUCUUUAGCUGUCAGGGCACUCGGCAUCACACCAGGAUGCUGAAUAGGCCAAGGGAUGCCUUAAACAUACCACUCAAACAGGCAGAAAGUGGAUUCAGGAAGGCUCAACACGAGCUGAAAGCUCACUGUUUAGGAAGCAUCUCUGCUGGGGUGAGGGUUGGCUCUUAUGGGUUUGUGUUGCGGACUCAGCACUUGGGCAGCUUUGUUUUGGUGCAUGGAAUGCUCAGAGGCGUUCUCUGAGCGCUGUGUUUGGGUAAUAGCCAAAAAUGAACCCAGUUGGCUAAUGGAAAUGCAUCCUUCCUCCUGUGCUGGGACUGCGUUGCUCUGAGUGCGUUGGAAACAGCACCAGAAGUGAUGUCUGACUGCUGCAGAUCCCAAACCCUCAGUCAGGCACUGCUCUGUGGAUGAGCAAGAUGGGCACAGCUGGAUCUGCUCCUCAAGGAUCCGCUGCAGGUGUGUGACUGGGGAAUUUUUCCCAACCACUCAACCUUCUGACAGGGCUUCCAUCAGCUGGAGCUGCCUCUCCCUUCCAGCAUCUCUUCAGGCUGAAAAGAAAUCAUAUUUCCUGAAGCAACACCAAACAGGGAAGUGGUGCUGCUUUGUCAUGUCCAAUUUCAAGUAGCUCUUCUCCUUAAGCUGCUCACAAACAAGAGAGGAGGUUGUAACACACAGCUUCUUUCAGACACGAUUCUCUCCUGCUGAGCCCUGAUCUCUUGCUGUCUGCAGCUCUGUGCUCUAUAGAUGGCACACGAUGCCAGCUCUGCCUGGCAGCCACAAGCUGAUGGGAUUUGUAUUUGUCCCAUCACCCCAUGAGCUGUCACAGGGGUGGAUCCCACUCCCUCCUGGCACUUGCUGUCUGCUGAGGACUCCCGUGUUAUCACUGCUGUCAACUUCCAAGCUGCGUUUUAUAUGGGAAGGAAAGCUGCCAGGCUGCUCUGCGAGCCAGUAGGUAUUCUUGGAGACAAAACAUUCAGUCUGGACCCGGCGCUGGUGGUUAAGCUUUAUUUGGUUCUCAUUUCCUUGAGAACUGGAUGCUCCUCUCCAUCUGUCAGCUCACAAAGCUGGGUCAGGCCGGCUGCAUCCUCUGCUCCAAAGCAAGGACCCCAAAAGGGAUCAGCUCCCCUUGACAUCAACGGGUUCUGGAUUGGGCCCCAGGCAAAGGCUCUCAAGAACGUGCUGCAGUUUGGGAAGCGGAGAAGCUGCGGUUUAACAUGGGAAUAGUUGGAGCAAGAAAAAUGUUAUUACCAAAACUCAGCUUAAACCAAGAGUACCGCGAGGUCAAACGCUGCAGCCAGUCAGAAACACAGUGUUCUUGAGGAUUGUUAUACUGGAGUUACAGGAGACAAGGUGCUUUCGUGGUAAAUGGAAAACGCAGCUCGGCAGAGAGGAGGAAGCUGCAGCAAAUGCACUGCUGAUGUUAAGCUGCUGCCUCCCUGGGGCCAAGCAGCAGUGCAUGACUGGGAACGUCCCAUCCCUGGGUCAGCAGCUGGACACCUCCAAGGCAGGGACCCCCCAGCCCCUCUUAAAGCUCUCUUGAAUGAUCCCAUGCUGCAGAGAGUACUACUCUGUACAAACAUGUAUACAAAUGUAAGUACAUCCAUAUACUUGGCUGAGAUGUAUAAACUCUGCAAUGGACUUUGGAUGUAAGUGUGGUCUUUGCUGCUGGCUCACCGGAGAGGGUUCUCAGUUAAUCACGGCUCAGUGGUUGGGCUGGGUGAUCUUAUCCAAUCUUAAUGAAUCUAUGAUCCUAUGGAAAUAAAUUGUACCCAGCUUGUCCCUGCUGCUGUCCCCUCCAAAGGUGCCAGGUUGCUCCGUCACAGGCAACACCGGGAUGAGUCCCUGGGAUCGUACCAGCACUCGUAUUCGGUGUCAAGGAAGACAAUAUGGAAACUGUGCCAAAAGAGGCCUGAUCUAUCACAAAUGCCAUCUCAUCAUUUUCAGCUGCUUUGAACUUCCCAGUGACUUUUAUUUGUGCCUCCCUUUUCUUUCUGUGCCAGAACAGACUCACAUCUUGAAAAGCUCUUCUCCCCACGUAGCUGUUAUCCUGCAGCCCUCCCCAAAUCCCCCCAGCUGUGCCUCCUCUGCUCUGCCUUGCUGGGAUAAGCAAGGGAGGUUCUUUGUCUGCAGGUGAGUUGUCUGCUGGUCUUUUUUAGGGGAAAUUGGAGGGCUCCUUGCAGACACAGAGGGCCACAAAUGGGUGGACAGGGAGCUGCUAAACAAAGAGCUGGUGUGAAUUAGAAGAGAGAUAAAGAGCAAUGGACUUGAUAAGGAGUUGGACUUGAUGAUCCUUGUGUGUUCUUCCAACUUGGGAUAUUGUAUGAUUUUAUGAAAAGAACCAUUGGCCCACAUUGCAGCCAAACAGCCCAGGCAUGGAGCAGAAAACAGCUUGACAAAGGUCAUGCAAGGAGCAUCAGAACAAGUUUCAGAUGUAGUCCUUUAACCAGAUGGCUGCUGUCUUGUGAGCAGUGCUGCAGCACGAGCCGUCAUUGCUCCUGGGCCACGUUCUGUUCCCAAAUAAAGUGUAGGGUGGGUGGACAACCCUGUGGGUGACCUGGAGCUCUCCAGGUGGGAGGGCUGAGCUCCAGCAGCAUGGAUCCAAUAUGGAGCUCCUUUGGACGUGGGGACAGUGAGGAAGGCAGAGCAGACCAGAGGUGCCAGGGUGGCUCUGAAACCUUCUCCGAGGACAUGCUCCACCUUCACAUCUCACCUACGUCAGAAUGACCUCAUGUUCAUAACAGCAGGAAUUUCCAGCUGGCGCAGCCAAACCCUUUGCUGCUAAAUUAAAAUUUCUACCUCUCUCCGGAGAGUUAUUUCCCCUCCAUUCUUUUUAUUAAUAAAUUAAUAAUAAAGCAGUUUGCUGGAG
ensembl:lncRNA